rnacentral:rRNA from 1 species
UCAGACGAUGCGUCAUGCAUAUCAAUAAGCGGAGGAAAAGAAACUAACAAGGAUUCCCUUAGUAACGGCGAGUGAAGCGGGAAGAGCUCAAAUUUGAAAUCUUCAAGGUUUUACCUUGACGAAUUGUAGUUUAAAGAAGUGUUUUCUGCUGAAGUUUUGGUAAAAGUUCUUUGGAAUAGGACAUCAUAGAGGGUGAGAAUCCCGUAUUUGACCAUUAUUUUCAGCUUUGUGAUACACUUUCAAAGAGUCGGAUUGUUUGGGAAUGCAGUCCAAAAUGGGUGGUAAAUUUCAUCUAAAGCUAAAUAUUGGCGAGAGACCGAUAGCGAACAAGUACCGUGAGGGAAAGAUGAAAAGAACUUUGAAAAGAGAGUUAAACAGUACGUGAAAUUGUCAAAAGGGAAGCGUUUGACACCAGUGUUGUUUUCUCGAAAAUCAAUUAAAAAUGGCUCGAUUUUGUAUUGCUGAGACCUUAAAAGCUCACUGUACAUUUUUCGUGUCUUUUUUAAUGCACUUUUCGUUUAACAAGUUAACAUCAGUUUCUUUUGUUGUAAAAGGGUCAUUGGAAGGUGGCUUUCUUUUCGGAGAAAGUGUUUAUAGCCUUUGGCCUCUGCAAUCGAAGAGACUGAGGUCUGCAGCGUAGACUCUUCGGGGUUAGAUACAUUUGUGCUAAGUUAUAGCUUUUUAUAGACAACUUGUUGACUAUAAUUAGUCUUGUAGCUUACUCGCUUAUGCUAUUUUACCUACGCUUAGGAUGUUGACGAUCAGCUGAGCGCG